UGGCAAGACCUUACCCAAUGGACCUCAUUUCUGAUUAGUGGUUUUCUCAAGGGUCGUAGUUGUUUGUCUCAUAGUUGGUACCAUAAUAUUGUUGGCGAUGGUAACUGUUGCUUUCUACAGAUCAAGCCAAUCCAUGGAAUUGAUUAAAGGAUCCAGCGGAACUAGCAAGGGCCACCCAAACUUGGAAUUCUUCAUAUGGGCCUUGCCAUCCACACCUUUGAUGAUAUUAUGAGAGUUACUGAGAAUCUCAAUGAGAAGUAUAUUGUAUGAUAUGGUGCUUCAGUUACCGUGUACAAGUGUGUUUUGAAGAAUUCCCUGCCAAUUGCAGUUAAACGAAUAUAAAACUAGCAUCAACACAACCCAAGGGAGUUUGAGACAGAACUUGAAACUAUUGGCAGCAUCAGGCAACAUUUAAGUACUCUAUGUCUAUUGAACAUAAUAUAAAAUGUUUGACACGCUUUCCUUUCUAGAAAUAUGCAUCAAUUAUAAGGGGUCUUCUCAGCUUAUUUCCUCUUUAUCUUAACUAGUUU
rnacentral:sRNA from 1 species